GCUAGGGACAUAGCUCAGUGGAGGAGCGUUUGCCUAGCAUGCAAGAGGUCCUGGGUUCAAUCCCCAGCCCAACAAACA